rnacentral:rRNA from 1 species
UGGGGAAUAUUGCACAAUGGGGGAAACCCUGAUGCAGCGACGCCGCGUGAGCGAUGAAGUAUUUCGGUAUGUAAAGCUCUAUCAGCAGGGAAGAAAAUGACGGUACCUGACUAAGAAGCCCCGGCUAACUACGUGCCAGCAGCCGCGGUAAUACGUAGGGGGCAAGCGUUAUCCGGAUUUACUGGGUGUAAAGGGAGCGUAGACGGCAUGGCAAGCCAGAUGUGAAAGCCCGGGGCUCAACCCCGGGACUGCAUUUGGAACUGUCAGGCUAGAGUGUCGGAGAGGAAAGCGGAAUUCCUAGUGUAGCGGUGAAAUGCGUAGAUAUUAGGAGGAACACCAGUGGCGAAGGCGGCUUUCUGGACGAUGACUGACGUUGAGGCUCGAAAGCGUGGGGAGCAAACAG